ensembl:lncRNA
GAAUGAAUUUCAUCUAGCAGACACUUUUAAGACUAGAUUUAGCUGCAGUCACAUUAGCUUAGAUAAUGGGAGAAUUUUUCUUCAUUGAAAAUGCUCCCUGUCGCUUAAGAAGAACUCACUGAGGCAGCCUGCCAUCUAGCUUUUUCACAGCAAAAUAGGCUUGCAGACUGCAGAUGAGAGACUCGGGAGCAGAGACAAUUUUAACUUAGCCAUCCCUAAUUUAUCUCAAGCUUUUUCAAUUCAUCUUCACUGCUCUGUGCACAUUGGAACACCAGAUUGUCAACCCCUGGGAACAGAAUGCAACCAGGGAACUAGAGAGCUGUCACAUCCUGAGAAAUAUUUAAAUUGUGCCGAUUUUCUUCUGGAGUGCUGAGCAGAGGGAAUGAAACUCUCCAUCAAGUCAUAGCUUUGCGGGCAAUAGAUCAGAGGAUACUGCCAGUUUUUCUAAUGGAUUAUUGUUAUCGGGCAGGUUCUUCCUGAAGGUCUCAGACCUGCUUUGUCACUCUUUACAGAAUUUACAGAGUAUAUUCUUUCAUGUGCACCUCUUACACAGCUGAAAAACACAAUAUUUCUGUUAAGAGCUAGUUCUUCAAAUUACUUCAAGUUGCAUGAGAAAGACUGCCCUUUUCUACACAGUACUGGAAGGCACAUGUUUCCGACAAUUGUGGUAUUCUCCAUGGGAAGGAGGAUGUGUAUGAGUAUGAUACAACCCAAAAGGGAUGUGGUGCUACGUCCUUUCUCUCUUUCCCUUACUUCUUCUAGUGAGACUUUUCAGCAAUUUGCUUCAUGCUAUUGCUAGAGUUUGUCAAAUCCUUCCAUGAACUACUCUAAGCACAAGCCUGAUGGAAAGCUAAUCCAGCAGGAAAAAGAAGUUCUCCAGUGGUUUAGAAAUUGAAUUAUGCCAGCUAAGGUCCUGUUGAAUCUGAGACCGCAUUCACAUCAGGAAAAGACCAGAGUGACUGAGGCUGUUCAGUGGAGUAUGGUGCAAAGAGGGAUUUCGUCCUUUUGCUUCAAUAAACUGUUAGAUCUCAUCAGCUAUAACAUUUAACCCUAUCUUAGAUCUGCCUUGUACUCUUUGUAUGUCUCCUUACCUCCAGCCAAAAAGUGUCAGUGGAGGAAAAGCACAAUCUCUGCUCACAUUCAGAGGUUUUAUUCCUCCAGUGUGCCUCCCUGGGGAAAAGCAGACUAGAAGACAAACACUGAGAUGGAAGUCGCUUUGAAACUUCCCCUGCCAUCAAAUGUCCAGCUGCAAUAAUAAUAAAAGUGGCAACUCAAAAAGGAUCUCUGAGAGCCAGCACUAUAAUCUAUUGAAUCUACCUCAACCAGGCCUAAAACUAGGUGGUUUUAUAAAAAAUUGGAAAAAUAUGUUUACAUGUAAGACUUUCUUUUGGCUUCUCCUUAAACACUGUGUGAUGUUUCUGGGUAGAGAUUAUAAUGGGUAAUGCUUUAUCAGUUUUGAAGGUUUUAUUAUGCAUUUUACUUUUAAUCUUCACCUUGAUCAGAACUAUGUUUCCCGUGCAUUCAGACAAAGUAUAAUUCUUAAGCAAAAUUACCUAAUACAGUAAAAAAAAUAAUUUUUGUUUUAAGAUUAUCAAAUGUGUUUUGCUUUGUUUUCCUUUGUGUUGAAGCUAAUUCAAACUGUUUCAAGGGUCCCAAUGUUUCCUUUAACAGAGACCUUAUGCUUUGCC